ensembl:lncRNA
CUUUUUUUUCUUUUUCCUGAUAGGAAGUCUAGAGACAUAUGUGCAUUGCAACCAUAGACAUGAUAUAGCACUGCAAGUUGCUUUCCACCCUGCUUUCUGUCCUGACCUUCUGGAUCUUACUUAACAUGUGUUGAUCUUUCUUUUUUUUCCUUUUUUUCCCAAAAGGUGUAUUUUCCAGGCUUUGGACAUAGAGUGCUUGGAAAUAGCUUGAUUCGAUGGAAUCCCCUCCAAUGGAAUCAGCUGCCAUGGGACCAUCUUCAUGGCACCGACAUUUACCUAAGUCCUGCUGAAGAUAUCAAAAAAUAACCUAUUUACAAACACGAUUUUUAAAAUGGCAAUCCAACUCAACACCCAAAGA